AGCGAACGCUGGCGGCAGGCCUAACACAUACAAGUCGAACGAAGCCUUCGGGCUUAGUGGCGGACGGGUGAGUAACACGUGGGAACGUACCUUUUGGUUCGGAACAACUCAGGGAAACUUGAGCUAAUACCGGAUGAGCCCUUAGGGGGAAAGAUUUAUCGCCGAAAGAGCGGCCCGCGUUAGAUUAGCUAGUUGGUGAGGUAAAGGCACACCAAGGCUACGAUCUAUAGCUGGUCUGAGAGGAUGAUCAGCCACACUGGGACUGAGACACGGCCCAGACUCCUACGGGAGGCAGCAGUGGGGAAUCUUGCGCAAUGGGCGAAAGCCUGACGCAGCCAUGCCGCGUGAAUGAUGAAGGUCUUAGGAUUGUAAAAUUCUUUUACCAGGGACGAUAAUGACGGUACCUGGAGAAAAAGCCCCGGCUAACUUCGUGCCAGCCGCCGCCGUAAUAC
rnacentral:rRNA from 1 species